ensembl:snoRNA Gm22620 predicted gene, 22620
AGCCUCAUUCUACUUAAGAUGGGCACUGUCAGUCAGUGUCUAGAACUGGUGAAUGUGGCUAAAUUGAGACACAGGUCAUGCUUCCAUCACAGUAGAUGCAUUACAGUGGUGACAAUGAGGCCUGUGACAUUU